CAGUAAGGAAUAUUGGUCAAUGGACGCAAGUCUGAACCAGCCAUGCCGCGUGGAGGAUGAAGGUCCUCUGGAUUGUAAACUUCUUUUAUUUGGGAAGAAAUGUGGCUUAUCUAGGUCAUUUGACGGUACCAGAUGAAUAAGCACCGGCUAACUCCGUGCCAGCAGCCGCGGUAAUACGGAGGGUGCAAGCGUUAUCCGGAUUCACUGGGUUUAAAGGGUGCGUAGGCGGAUCUGUAAGUCAGUGGUGAAAUCUCCGGGCUUAACCCGGAAACUGCCGUUGAUACUAUAGAUCUUGAAUGUUGUGGAGGUUAGCGGAAUAUGUCAUGUAGCGGUGAAAUGCAUAGAUAUGACAUAGAACACCAAUUGCGAAGGCAGCUGGCUACACAAAUAUUGACGCUGAGGCACGAAAGCGUGGGGAUCAAACAGGAUUAGA
rnacentral:rRNA from 1 species